UACGUAGGGUACAAGCAUUAAUCGGAAUGAUUGGGCGUAAAGGGCGCGUAGGCGGCCUAGUAAGUCAGAUGUGAAAUUCCAAAGCUCAACUUUGGAGCUGCAUUUGAAACUACUGGGCUAAAGAGGUAAGACGGAGAAAGCGGAAUUCCACGUGUAGCGGUGAAAUGCGUAGAUAUGUGGAGGAACACCUGUGGCGAAAGCGGCUUUCUAGUUUUAACCUGACGCUGAGGCGCGAGAGCAAGGGGAGCAAACAGG
rnacentral:rRNA from 1 species